rnacentral:lncRNA from 1 species
UCAUUAAAACCUAGUUGAUAAAAAUUCAUUAGGAUAAAAAUCGUAACUAAGGAAAAGGAGUAUAGUCUCCAUCUCAAAAAGAAUUCAUUAUUUAUUAAUGUAAUAUUGUGAUAAAUCUUUGAGUCGACGCAUUCCGAUCUUAUUCCAAAGUUUUGCAAACGUUGCAUUUAGUAGUGACUUUGUGAGUAAGUCGACUAAAUUACACCUGAUCGAAUUUGACGCACAUCUAUAGAACCCUUCUUUUGCAGCUCGUGUGUAGAAAAAUUUAGAUGAAAUGUGUUUUGUUCUAUCUCCCUUAAUGUAUCCUCCUCUAAGUUGA